rnacentral:misc_RNA from 1 species
UGACAACACCUUCAUUGAGAAG